AUUCUUUUUGGGUCUUUGUGGUGACUGGUCUUUCAUACCAUUGGGUGACAUGUGCCUCCCUGUAAACCUUGGUACGUGGGCACAUUACCUAUCUGAUG
rfam:Fukomys damarensis contig96727, whole genome shotgun sequence.